UGGGGAAUAUUGGACAAUGGGCGAAAGCCUGAUCCAGCCAUGCCGCGUGUGUGAAGAAGGUCUUCGGAUUGUAAAGCACUUUAAGUUGGGAGGAAGGGCAGUAAGCGAAUACCUUGCUGUUUUGACGUUACCGACAGAAUAAGCACCGGCUAACUCUGUGCCAGCAGCCGCGGUAAUACAGAGGGUGCAAGCGUUAAUCGGAAUUACUGGGCGUAAAGCGCGCGUAGGUGGUUCGUUAAGUUGAAUGUGAAAGCCCCGGGCUCAACCUGAGAACUGCAUCCAAAACUGGCGAGCUAGAGUAGGGCAGAGGGUGGUGGAAUUUCCUGUAUAGCGGUGAAAUGCGUAGAUAAAGGAAGGAACACCAGUGGCGAAGGCGACCACCUGGGCUCAUACUGACACUGAGGUGCGAAAGCGUGGGGAGCAAACAGG
rnacentral:rRNA from 1 species